ACUCCUACGGGAGGCAGCAGUGGGGAAUAUUGGACAAUGGGGGGAACCCUGAUCCAGCCAUGCCGCGUGUGUGAAGAAGGCCCUCGGGUUGUAAAGCACUUUCAGCGAGGAAGAACGCCUAGCGGUUAAUACCCGCUAGGAAAGACAUCACUCGCAGAAGAAGCACCGGCUAACUCCGUGCCAGCAGCCGCGGUAAUA
rnacentral:rRNA from 1 species